rnacentral:rRNA from 1 species
UAGGGAAUCUUCCGCAAUGGACGCAAGGCUGAAGGAGCAACGCCGCGUGAGUGAAGAAGGAUUUCGGUUCGUAAAACUCUGUUGUUAGAGAAGAACAGCGCAUAGAGUAACUGUUAUGCGUGUGACGGUAUCUAACCAGAAAGCCACGGCUAACUACGUGCCAGCAGCCGCGGUAAUACGUAGGUGGCAAGCGUUGUCCGGAUUUAUUGGGCGUAAAGCGAGCGCAGGCGGUCAAUUAAGUCUGAUGUGAAAGCCCCCGGCUCAACCGGGGAGGGUCAUUGGAAACUGGUUGACUUGAUUGCAGAAGAGGAGAGUGGAAUUCCAUGUGUACCGGUGAAAUGCGUAGAUAUAUGGAGGAACACCAGUGGCGAAGGCGACUCUCUGGUCUGUAACUGACGCUGAGGCUCGAAAGCGUGGGUAGCAAACAGG